UCCUGGUGAAGCUUGCUUGGACAUGUUAUAAUUUAUACCAAUCAAUGCUUGUGAAAUUGGCUGGAGAGAACUACUUUUUCCAUUCAGGACAGGUAGUGUUUUUGCUUAUUUGGUUUCCAAUACUUAUAAAACUAGGUCUUAACUCCUAAGUAAGGAUCUUGCCUUUUUUUUUUUUUUUUUUCAUUUCUAUGAUUGUACGAAUUUCAGGAUAUGUGUGGGAACAUCAUAGAACACAACGAGGCCUGAGAGAGUUGAAUCACUCUUUUAUCUUUAGCGUUUGACUGGUAACAAGACAUAUCAGGAGUUGGGAUGAAAUAUCUUUCAAGCAUUUGAAAUGAACUCAGAGACAAGAUAAGUUGGAUUAAAGGACGUAAUCAUAUCUUAACUUGUGUUCUCGUAAAGGUUUUCAGGAGGGGAGCAGGACUGUUGUGCAUGUUUAAAUCAUUUUCUCAUCAAUGAAGUCAUUGCUCUUGUUCUCAGGUUAAUACUGGUGUAGAAAACAAUAUGAUGCAAAGUUUUUCCUCGCGGAGACAAUCUCUAAAUUCUUUUCUCACCUCCUUCAGUCAAUUCAGUGGACGAGUUGGUCUUUAACAUGGAAGCACACCAUAAAUACUCACUUUGCACGACCGGGUAGAGAAAUCUGGAAUCUCAGUAGGACAAUAUUUUAGAGACCCUAUCAUGAGCUAUGAAAGAAGUUCAGGUCAUUACUGAAUAAUAUAGUAGUCCCAUGAACUUCGUACAUGAUAAUUGGUAAAUGCAUGACAUGUUUCGUUUGAUUUUUUUAAAUACAAAAAAUCACAUAUUUGUUUUGUUAGGAAUACAACCAUGAAUUUUAUUUACAAAGUCUGUCUAAAUUCUAAUAAUUAGUGAUUGUUUUGGUCAGUUAGUCAUGAAUUUUGGUUAUCCUUUCUCUGGAUAUGUAUAUUUAGAAUAUGUUCUAAGAUCCCCAAGGUAUUGACUUUUCGAUUGAUGCCUAUGGCUAGAGAAUGUAAUAGGACGCCAACUUUAGCUUCAUUUGAUGAUGG
rnacentral:lncRNA from 1 species